GCCUGUAUGGAUCAACUGGUAGAUCGCCUUCCAAAAUUGUGGUGAGAUUUUGAGCGAGACGGAGGUUCGAACCCUCCUAUGGGUA